rnacentral:rRNA from 1 species
UACAGAGGGUGCGAGCGUUGUUCGGAAUUAUUGGGCGUAAAGGGCGCGUAGGCGGUUUGGUAGGUCCGUUGUGAAAACUCGAGGCUCAACCUCGAGACGCCGAUGGAAACCAUCAGACUAGAGUCCGGAAGAGGAGAGUGGAAUUCCUGGUGUAGCGGUGAAAUGCGUAGAUAUCAGGAGGAACACCUGUGGUGUAGACAGCUUACUGGACCAUUUCUGACGCUGAGACACGAAAGCGUGGGUAGCAAACAGG